AACUUCUGUUUUUCCCUCUUGUGUUGUGCUUAGUACCACGGAGAAAGAAGUGAAGGGUAAGAGCCCACCCCAAUUGUGACAUGGAAGGCGCCCAAGAGCCGUGAGACAGUGAGCGUUGUUGAUUCCAGGCUAUGCAAAUGCCAUGAAGCUGGGAGUGGAGCAGAUGUCACCAUCAGUGAGAUAAGUGUCUGGUUUCGUGAGGACUCUGGUAACGGCCCACCUGCUUCCAGGCCAGGACUUGUCGUUAGCUGGGGCUGAGUUUGUAGGAAAAGGUUCCUGAAUAGCUGUAGUUACGAGGGAGACAAGGUCCCCGUUUUCAGGGGCUGGUCAUUUCUCUGUCCACAAGCAGUGCGUUCUCUGCAGCAGAAGGUUGGAUCCAGGGGGAUGACUCCAGCUGAGGAAUCAUCCAGGAGCAGCAGCCAGAGGAUAAAUUGGCGGAAGUGGACCUGAGCCACCUGGAAAUCCUUCUAAGCAGACAUGAACAGUCUUCAGCUUUCUGCCUCCCACGUAACUGCCUCUGCGCUUCUAGAGGAAUCAUGGAGGAGCAGCAGCCGAAGGAGAAGGUGGCAGACGUGGACUUGAGCAGCUUGGACAUUGUUCUAAGCAGAGAUUAACAGUCCUCAGCUUUCUGCCUUGCACAUAACUGGCU